AGAUGUGCCCAGAUGGGAUUAGCUAGUAGGUGGGGUAACGGCUCACCUAGGCGACGAUCCCUAGCUGGUCUGAGAGGAUGACCAGCCACACUGGAACUGAGACACGGUCCAGACUCCUACGGGAGGCAGCAGUGGGGAAUAUUGCACAAUGGGCGCAAGCCUGAUGCAGCCAUGCCGCGUGUGUGAAGAAGGCCUUCGGGUUGUAAAGCACUUUCAGCGGGGAGGAAGGCGUUAAGGUUAAUAACCUUGGCGAUUGACGUUACCCGCAGAAGAAGCACCGGCUAACUCCGUGCCAGCAGCCGCGGUAAUACGGAGGGUGCAAGCGUUAAUCGGAAUUACUGGGCGUAAAGCGCACGCAGGCGGUCUGUCAAGUCGGAUGUGAAAUCCCCGGGCUCAACCUGGGAACUGCAUUCGAAACUGGCAGGCUAGAGUCUUGUAGAGGGGGGUAGAAUUCCAGGUGUAGCGGUGAAAUGCGUAGAGAUCUGGAGGAAUACCGGUGGCGAAGGCGGCCCCCUGGACAAAGACUGACGCUCAGGUGCGAAAGCGUGGGGAGCAAACAGGAUUAGAUACCCUGGUAGUCCACGCCGUAAACGAUGUCGAUUUGGAGGUUGUGCCCUUGAGGCGUGGCUUCCGGAGCUAACGCGUUAAAUCGACCGCCUGGGGAGUACGGCCGCAAGGUUAAAACUCAAAUGAAUUGACGGGGGCCCGCACAAGCGGUGGAGCAUGUGGUUUAAUUCGAUGCAACGCGAAGAACCUUACCUGGUCUUGACAUCCACAGAACUUUCCAGAGAUGGAUUGGUGCCUUCGGGAACUGUGAGACAGGUGCUGCAUGGCUGUCGUCAGCUCGUGUUGUGAAAUGUUGGGUUAAGUCCCGCAACGAGCGCAACCCUUAUCCUUUGUUGCCAGCGGUUAGGCCGGGAACUCAAAGGAGACUGCCAGUGAUAAACUGGAGGAAGGUGGGGAUGACGUCAAGUCAUCAUGGCCCUUACGACCAGGGCUACACACGUGCUACAAUGGCAUAUACAAAGAGAAGCGACCUCGCGAGAGCAAGCGGACCUCAUAAAGUAUGUCGUAGUCCGGAUUGGAGUCUGCAACUCGACUCCAUGAAGUCGGAAUCGCUAGUAAUCGUAGAUCAGAAUGCUACGGUGAAUACGUUCCCGGGCCUUGUACACACCGCCCGUCACACCAUGGGAGUGGGUUGCAAAAGAAGUAGGUAGCUUAACCUUCGGGAGGGCGCUUACCACUUUGUGAUUCAUGACUGGGGUGAAGUCGUAACAAGGUAACCGUAGGGGAACCUGCGGUUGGAUCACCU
rnacentral:rRNA from 1 species